rnacentral:rRNA from 1 species
AGCGGCGGACGGGUGAGUAACGCGUGGGUAACCUGCCUCAUACAGGGGGAUAACAGUUAGAAAUGACUGCUAAUACCGCAUAAGCGCACAGGACCGCAUGGUCCGGUGUGAAAAACUCCGGUGGUGUGAGAUGGACCCGCGUUUGAUUAGCUAGUUGGUGGGGUAACGGCCUACCAAGGCGACGAUCAAUAGCCGACCUGAGAGGGUGACCGGCCACAUUGGGACUGAGACACGGCCCAA